GGCACUAUAGCCAAGUGGUUAAGGCGAUAGAUUCGAAUCACGUGUUCCUUCCGUAGGAUCGGAACCUUCGAAGAUCUAUUCCGCAUUGCGGUCGCAGGUUCAAAUCCUGCUGGUGUCG